UACGUAGGGUGCAAGCGUUGUCCGGAAUUAUUGGGCGUAAAGAGCUCGUAGGCGGCUUGUCACGUCGGGUGUGAAAGACCGGGGCUUAACUCCGGUUCUGCAUUCGAUACGGGCUAGCUAGAGUGUGGUAGGGGAGAUCGGAAUUCCUGGUGUAGCGGUGAAAUGCGCAGAUAUCAGGAGGAACACCGGUGGCGAAGGCGGAUCUCUGGGCCAUUACUGACGCUGAGGAGCGAAAGCGUGGGGAGCGAACAGG
rnacentral:rRNA from 1 species